UUCCUUUAGCAGGACAUAGACUAAAACUGGAAUGAUACAGAGAAGAUUAGCAUGGCCCCUGAAUAAGAAUGACAUGCAAACCAUAGUUUUCUGUUAUCUCAUAAUUUU
ensembl:snRNA U6 U6 spliceosomal RNA